GGUGGGGUUCCCGAGUGGCCAAAGGGAACAGACUGUAAAUCUGUCGGCGAAGCCUUCGGAGGUUCAAAUCCUCCCCCCACCACCA
rnacentral:tRNA from 3 species